GACAAGGUGGCUGAGCGGUUAAGGCAAUGGGCUCUUAAUCUGUUGCAUUUUGCCUGUAUGGGUUCAAAUCCCAUCCUUAUUG
rnacentral:tRNA from 1 species